GGGUCAGAUGUGUAUAGGGGACAGGUGAGUCAUCGAAUCUUUGAACGCACAUUGCGCCCCUUGGUAUUCCGGGGGGCAUGCCUGUUCGAGCGUCAUUAUAACCCUCAAGCCUAGCUUGGUGUUGGAGCCUGCCUCUGGGCAGCUCUUAAAAUCAGUGGCGGUGCCGUCUGGCUCUAAGCGUAGUAAUUUUUCUCGCUACAGAGUCCCGGCGGUUGCUUGCCAACAACCCCAAAUUUUCUAUGGUUGACCUCGGAUCAGGUAGGGAUACCCGCUGAACUUAAGCAUAUCAAUAAGCGGAGG
rnacentral:misc_RNA from 1 species